rnacentral:rRNA from 1 species
AUUGAACGCUGGCGGCAGGCUUAACACAUGCAAGUCGAGCGGAGCGAGGGUGCUUGCACCUUAGCUUAGCGGCGGACGGGUGAGAAAUGCUUAGGAAUCUGCCUAUUAGUGGGGGACAACAUUCCGAAAGGGAUGCUAAUACCGCAUACGCCCUACGGGGGAAAGCAGGGGAUCUUCGGACCGUGCGCUAAUAGACGAGCCUAAGUCGGAUUAGCUGGUUGGUGGGGUAAAGGCCUACCAAGGCGACGAUCUGUAGCGGGUCUGAGAGGAUGAUCCGCCACACUGGGACUGAGACACGGCCCAGACUCCUACGGGAGGCAGCAGUGGGGAAUAUUGGACAAUGGGCGGAAGCCUGAUCCAGCCAUGCCGCGUGUGUGAAGAAGGCCUUUUGGUUGUAAAGCACUUUAAGCGAGGAGGAGGCUACUAGUAUUAAUACUACUGGAUAGUGGACGUUACUCGCAGAAUAAGCACCGGCUAACUCUGUGCCAGCCGCCGCGGUAA